CUUUUGRAGUAUAAUUUAAGGUCUAACCUGCCCAAUGAAAAUUUAAAUGGCCGCGGUAUUUUGACCGUGCAAAGGUAGCAUAAUCAUUAGUUUUUUAAUUGAAAGCUGGAAUGAAAGGUUGGAUGAGAAAACGACUGUCUCUGUUUAAGUUAUUUAGAAUUUUAUUUUUAAGUUAAAAAGCUUAAAUUUUAAUAGAAGACGAGAAGACCCUAUAGAGUUUUAUACAUUUAUAUUGAAAAAGUCUUUUAGUAUAUAAAAUUUUUUUUAUAUAAAGAGUAUUUAGUUGGGGUGAUUGAAAAAUUAACAAAACUUUUUUUAUAUUAAUAACAUUAAUAUAUGAAUAUUUGAUCCUUAUAUAAAGAUUAAAAGAAAAAAUUACCUUAGGGAUAACAGCGUAAUUUUUUUAAAGAGUUCAAAUCGAAAAAGAAGAUUGCGACCUCGAUCUUGGAUUAAAAUAAAAUUUUGGUGUAGGGGCUAAA
rnacentral:rRNA from 1 species